CCUACGGGUGGCAGCAGUGGGGAAUAUUGGACAAUGGGCGAAAGCCUGAUCCAGCCAUGCCGCGUGUGUGAAGAAGGCCUUCGGGUUGUAAAGCACUUUCAGUGGGGAAGAAAGCCUUGGGGCUAAUACCCUCGAGGAAGGACAUCACCCACAGAAGAAGCACCGGCUAACUCCGUGCCAGCAGCCGCGGUAAUACGGAGGGUGCGGGCGUUAAUCGGAAUUACUGGGCGUAAAGCGCGCGUAGGCGGUCUGAUAAGCCGGUUGUGAAAGCCCCGGGCUCAACCUGGGAACGGCAUCCGGAACUGUCAGGCUAGAGUGCAGGAGAGGAAGGUAGAAUUCCCGGUGUAGCGGUGAAAUGCGUAGAGAUCGGGAGGAAUACCAGUGGCGAAGGCGGCCUUCUGGACUGGCACUGACGCUGAGGUGCGAAAGCGUGGGUAGCAAACAGGAUUAGAUACCCGGGUAGUC
rnacentral:rRNA from 1 species